AGAGUUCGAUUAUGGCUCAGGAUGAACGCUGGCGGCGUGCUUAACACAUGCAAGUCGAACGAAGCGCCUCAGAUUGAUUUCUUCGGAAUGAUCUCUUUGGUGACUGAGUGGCGGACGGGUGAGUAACGCGUGGGUAACCUGCCUCAUACAGGGGGAUAACAGUUAGAAAUGACUGCUAAUACCGCAUAAGCGCACGGUAUCGCAUGAUACUGUGUGAAAAACUCCGGUGGUAUGAGAUGGACCCGCGUCUGAUUAGCUUGUUGGCGGGGUAACGGCCCACCAAGGCGACGAUCAGUAGCCGACCUGAGAGGGUGAUCGGCCACAUUGGGACUGAGACACGGCCCAA
rnacentral:rRNA from 1 species